UUCUGAUUGCUGAUCCCAGUUGAUUGGACAGAAGUAUCCGCAAGGAAGAGGACAAUUCACCCAGGAGACAAUAUUUGCAAAACCCUGAUGACCUUGUUUAAAGAUGAAAAGGGAUAUUGGAAUGUGUUCUGGAAGGUUGCUAGCGAUUUGUAUGAUGGCAGAAAAGCCCCACACUUUCUCAGCUUCUGGAAGACGUGUUAGCAGGAAAGGAACUAUCUGCACCAGCAUAUCCAUGGCAAGAGCUGUUCAUACCCUCGGACUCUUACUAAGUGAGGGCUGAUCUGCUGAGCAUUUGCCUUGGGAUUGAACGUUGGAUUGUGUUUCUCAUGACAUUUACCAGACCUCUGUUUGCAAGAAUUAGAACACUCAAGAAGUUCUUUAGGAGUAUGAUGUACCUCCUCGUGGAUCAUGCUUUAUCCUACACCUUGAGGAGCCUUUCAAGAUUUGAGCCUUGUUAAAGGUCUGGAGGCAAAACCACAUG